rfam:Ictidomys tridecemlineatus contig038301, whole genome shotgun sequence.
GGGGUUGUGGCUCAGUGGUAGAGCGCUUGCCUAGCAUGUGCAAGGCCCUGGGUUCGAUCCUCAGCACCA